rnacentral:rRNA from 1 species
GAUGAACGCUGGCGGCGUGCCUAAUACAUGCAAGUCGAGCGAACAGACGAGGAGCUUGCUCCUCUGACGUUAGCGGCGGACGGGUGAGUAACACGUGGAUAACCUACCUAUAAGACUGGGAUAACUUCGGGAAACCGGAGCUAAUACCGGAUAAUAUAUUGAACCGCAUGGUUCAAUAGUGAAAGACGGUUUUGCUGUCACUUAUGGAUGGAUCCGCGCCGCAUUAGCUAGUUGGUAAGGUAACGGCUUACCAAGGCAACGAUGCGUAGCCGACCUGAGAGGGGGAUCGGCCACACUGGAACUGAGACACGGUCCAGACUCCUACGGGAGGCAGCAGUAGGGAAUCUUCCGCAAUGGGCGAAAGCCUGACGGAGCAACGCCGCGUGAGUGAUGAAGGUCUUCGGAUCGUAAAACUCUGUUAUUAGGGAAGAACAAAUGUGUAAGUAACUAUGCACGUCUUGACGGUACCUAAUCAGAAAGCCACGGCUAACUACGUG